GAAUAUUCUGUUGUUGCAACAAUAAAAUAAUGAUUCCUCUAAUGAUCAUGGUUCUCUCUCUCUCUCUCUCUGUCUAUCUCUCCCAGGUAUCCUCUGUAUUGUUGUCCAGCUGUCCUCGAAUCUGUGACCCAGGCUUCAUUAUUGACAAGUGUAAGUGUGUCCUUUGUCCCGAUGGCGACUACUGGUACAUGCAGAACGGACUUCCGAAGUGUGACCGAUGCAGCGAAGCCUGCUCGGUGGAUCAGCACUUGACACAGGUGAAGGAAUGCGGCCGGGACUCAAACCGCGAGUGCCACUGUGACAGUGGCUUUUUCUGUGACAACGCUGCCCAGUAUACCUGCAGGAGGUGUAAGCCGUGCUCGCCCGGAACCUUCUCUAACAAACCAAACCUAACCAUGUCCUGCAAACCCCACACAGAUUGUGGCCAUAAGGGAAUGACUAUGGUGACAGAGGGCACUGCCACUCAGGAUCGUGUAUGUGCCCAGACCUCCCCUAACUCUCCUACAACCACUGCGCCUCCAACUGUCCAAAGCUCAGAGAUAGGCUUUCAUUCUUCUACCUCCAGUGGAGUCAGCACCACCCGAAAACCCCUCAUCAUAGCAUCCCCAUCUGGCCUGGUGGGGUCUACAUCUCCUGAUGCCUUUCCCAUAGCCACAAUUGACACAUCUGCAGACCCUUCACCAGCCUUACUCACCAGGCCUUCUUUGUCCCAAGCCCAAAGCGAGCCCUCUACCUCCCUCCCAACUAGGAAAAAAGUCGCUGAACACAGCUUCUUUGACCCCAACACAAAGCUCACCACCAGGAGAAACCUCAGAAAGGUGGACAGUAACACCCCACCUGCAGAGUCUGCCUCUGCACCUCUUACCACAGAUGACAAUGACCCACCUCCUCUCUCAGCAACAGAUACUGGACCGAGCCCUUCCACUCUCCCUUGGCUGCUGCUGAUAGGUGGGCUACUAGGGGUUGUCGUGCUGCUGGUUGUUUACUUUGUCCGUUGUAAGGAGAGGUCACUGAAGUCCCUAGACAAGUGGAAAGGUCCAGUAUUUGGUAUAAAUGCCCAGCCACCACAGGAGAGUUGCCCAUACCCGGAGGCCCAGCAUCUUCUGGGGAGUGAGACUGGGGGAAAUCCUAGACAGGAUGGUGCAGGGUUGCUACCUCCAGGGGUCAUGAAGCAGGUCACAGUGGACCACUCUGGUGGAGAGAACAUUAGCAACACAGUGGGGUCCAUUUACAUCUACUCUCCGGGGACGGUUGUCCUGGGAUACAACAAGUCGGAGAGGAAGGUGGAUCAAGUCGAGAAUGGGGUAGAGGGCUGUCCCCUCACCAGAACACCCCAGCAGGAGUCCUCCUGCCCCCUCCCUGAGGGCCCUGCUCUGGGGCCAGAGAGAAUGAGUACACAGGAGGAGACCUGCAAAGAGCUGAGAUACCCCAUCCCGGCCACCAGCAACUGAGAACUAGAAAAAAAAAUGAAAUUAAGGAUUAACUAUGGAAAAAGCCUGAGGAGGAGCAACUUCAUUCAAUAUCAACUAUCAUCUCUAGGGGAAGAAUGCAGGCAGAUUAUUAUUUGCUACUGUAAAGACUGUUAGACUGAAUGGCUUCCUUCUGUACAAGGAUUGCCAAAGCCACUGGGGUCCCUCAUGGGUCUUCUAUUAUGAAAGAGUGACAGUUUGUUCCAACUGUAUGUAAUAGUCUUAGCACGGUUUCAAAUUCACUGUAAGUCACUGUUGUGACAGCAGUGCUGGGACAGUUUGUGAGAGCAAUGCAUGGUCUGUUUGAUAUGGGGUGUCAACACUGUGAGUCGGAGUUUCCCAUCAUAGGGUACAUGUACACAAUGUCGCCAGAUAGUGUGAGAGUCUACGUGUAUCAACCACAGAAACAGUGAAGACAAGAAAUUCAUAUGAGGUGGGAAGUAACCUAUAUAACAAGUAGGGUUUGGCGUGUGAAGAGCUUACAAUUUCCAUUGUAAAGUAAUACAGGGACUGUCUGGACAAUUUAAAAUCAAACAUAGCCAUGUUCACUGGUUAUAACCUUUGUUCUGUGAAUUUUUGAUCAAGACAUUGCUAUGUACAGUAGCCUACAGAACGAAGACAGAAGAAAGAUGAUUUUAUAACAGACAAUAGCAAUCUGUUCCAGUCUAUUCCUUGACAUAAAUGUACACAAAUGAACAAACUAUUUCAAGUCAUCUCUUUAUGGUGAAACCACUUAUGUAGUUGACUAUGACUAUGGGCAGCCAAUCACUGUCUGUUAAUCAUGCAGAACAAUUGUAAUAUUUUGUCUGUUUGACAAACGCAUGUGACGUAGGCUAUGCCCAUAGCAUGAGCUGUUUGAUUACCCCAAUUUUUCUUUUAUCCUUCUGAAAUUGUAGAACUUUUUCAAGCAAGUAUUUACCGACAAAACACACCGUUUACGAUGAUUUCUGUGUUAGUAUGGAGGAAUGAAAAAUGGUCUCUCUUUUUGUAUAGUAGUGGUGCUGAAAAUGGUGACUCAACAUUUUGUGGUUAACAUACCAAAUUUGGCACAGAUGUAGAUGUACGGUGCCUUCGAAAAGUAUUCAGGCCCCUUGACUUUUUUUCCACUUUUUGUAAUGUUACAGCCUCACUCUAAAACAUGAUAUAUAUAUAUAUAAAAAAUCCUCAGCACUCUACACACAAUACCCCAUAAUGACAAAGCGAAAACAGGUUUUUAGAAAUUUCUGCAAAUGUUCUGCUGUUCUGCAAAUUAUUCUGCUGUCCGCAUAGGAGAACCCUUUUUGGUUCCAUGUAGAACCCUUUACCCCCGACAUAGGACCCAAAAGGGUUCUACCUGGAACCAAAAAGGGUUCUUCAAAGGGUUCUCCUAUGGGGACAGCCGAAUAACCUUUUUAGGUUCUAGAUGGCACCUUUUUUCCCCCGAAUAGGGUAGUGAUGGCACCAGUUUCCAUAUCGCCUAUAACUCAAUCGCCAAUUUCUCAGCCUCUGAGUAUCACAGAAACACAAGACUCUGAAUGAAUAACAGAAACAUGUUAAUGACAAGAUCCUAUGACUGAAAUGGAUCAAAACAUGGAAAAGCAUGCAAACAUUUAUAUUUUAAACAUAAGAUUUGACUAUAAAUGUGUUAACAUUCUUAAUAUUUGUAUUGUGUUGUGUUACAAAAGGUUAAUGAAAGAAAGUAUUACUGCUUGACACUGCCUCUGCAAUCAUUACCAGUUUGGGUACAGUACAUGGACUUCUUGAGGAAAUUGAAAUCGAAGGUUACUGCAGUGCAAAGACGCCCUCAGUUUCCUCAGCUAGUCAGCAGUUCAAGGAAACGCGCACUUUUGUUCCAGGUUGUAAUUCGAGUGUUCUUCUGUAGGCUAACAAUACGGUUUCAGUAUGGACUUUUUCGCAAGAUCUUAAAGGGU
rnacentral:lncRNA from 1 species